CCUACGGGGUGCAGCAGUGGGGAAUAUUGGGCAAUGGGCGCAAGCCUGACCCAGCAACGCCGCGUGAAGGAAGAAGGCUUUCGGGUUGUAAACUUCUUUUAAGAGGGAAGAGCAGAAGACGGUACCUCCUGAAUAAGCCACGGCUAACUACGUGCCACCAGCCGCGUUAAUACGUAGGUGGCAAGCGUGUUCCGGAUUUACUGGUUGUAAAGGGCGUGUAGCCGGGCUGACAAGUCAGAUGUGAAAUUCCGGGGCUCAACCCCGGACCUGCAUUUGAAACGGUUGGUAGGGAGUAUCGGAGAGGCAGGCGGAAUUCCUAGUGUAGCGGUGAAAUGCGUAGAUAUGAGGAGGAACACCAGUGGCGAAGGCGGCCUGCUGGACGACAACUGACGGUGAGGCGCGAAAGCGUGGGGAGCAAACAGGAUUAGAUACCCUAGUAGUC
rnacentral:rRNA from 1 species